UCCGUAGUAUGUAACAUUGCAGUCGCGUGCUUGUACUCGUAGCGGUUGAAUUGGAGUUUGUGACGUGCGUGUAUCAUUGCAUUUUCUUCGAAGAACAUCUAUUCUUUGUAGCAUUGUUUCUUGUCAAAUUGACGGAUCUGAUAUCUACAAAUUCGCGAUUUUUCUUGCAUGUACGUACGUGAUGCGAUAAAAGAGAAAAGUAAAGUGACGUGUAACACAUGUGUAAGUGCAUAUGAGUGCCAUCUGAAAUUUCGAGAACCGAAAAAUCCUGCCUAAUAUUUCUGCGCUACGGACCUUGUUAUGUGAUAUCUCGAGGCAGUAGCAGGCAACAAUUUCAACUAUAAAGCUACAGCAAACUUUCGCGCACGUCAAGAUGCGAUAAAAAAGGCUGUGAUUAACUUAACUUUUUCAACAAUAUAAAUCGCAAUCUUAAAUCGAUUGAUUACUUUAGUAUAUUAAAUAUGAUAUGAAAUCAUUGAUUUCUUUAAAGAUUUUCCAAUGAUCGAUAUAUCGAUAUGGACUUUUCUUGUUCUUUAAUUAAAAGAAUUAAGAAUUAAAUUUGCAAUACGGCAAACUAAUCGAAAAAUGUUUUAUUAUUGAGAAGUGCACGCAACUAGAAGUUAAAAUAUAA